AGUGAACGCUGGCGGUAGGCCUAACACAUGCAAGUCGAACGGCAGCACAGUAAGAGCUUGCUCUUACGGGUGGCGAGUGGCGGACGGGUGAGGAAUACAUCGGAAUCUACUUUUUCGUGGGGGAUAACGUAGGGAAACUUACGCUAAUACCGCAUACGACCUACGGGUGAAAGCAGGGGAUCUUCGGACCUUGCGCGAGUGAAUGAGACGAUGUCGGAUUAGCUAGUUGGCGGGGUAAAGGCCCACCAAGGCGACGAUCCGUAGCUGGUCUGAGAGGAUGAUCAGCCACACUGGAACUGAGACACGGUCCAGACUCCUACGGGAGGCAGCAGUGGGGAAUAUUGGACAAUGGGCGCAAGCCUGAUCCAGCCAUACCGCGUGGGUGAAGAAGGCCUUCGGGUUGUAAAGCCCUUUUGUUGGGAAAGAAAAGCGGCAGGUUAAUACCCCGCUGUUCUGACGGUACCCAAAGAAUAAGCACCGGCUAACUUCGUG
rnacentral:rRNA from 1 species